rnacentral:lncRNA from 1 species
UUGUAUUUCAGUAUUUUUCCAAUACAAUAUUUUUCUCUUUUUAGUACCCAAUCCCCCUUUUCUUUGUGAUCGAUUUUGGCUUUUUAAAACCGAUCUAUAAAACAUUCAUUUCCUAUUUUUUGUUUUCGUUCUUUUGUUUAUUCUUUUCCCCAUUCCUCGCAUGCUUCCUUUUGCUGUUGUUUUUGUCUCUGUUGCAGGUGUGUCCGGUGUGGGUGGUGCACGUGAUGGCCAAGGGCAGAGGUAGCAUGGGGCGACUGAUCAGAGGCGUGCAUGCGUGAGGGGAGGUGAAGCGGCGGCAGCUACAAAGCAUGAGGCUAGGGUUUUUUUGUUUGGUUGAAAACUAGUAUAGUUUGGGCCAUUCGGGCCUCUAAGGUUUUUAUCAUUAUUAGGCAUUUGGAUUGGGUUUGUUUUUUGGGUUAAUUUUGUUGUAAUGGUCUGUUAAUUUUUAUUAGUCUUGGUCCAUUUGGGUUUUAUGGUCUGGGCCUGGGCAAAAAUGGGCUUUUACAGCUGCCCCUCUUUGCUCAUUUUCGUGUAACGAGAAUAGAGCAAAGACAUCAAAAGGGCCAAUUUUGCCCGGCCUUGCCGAGUCUUGACUUUUUGGUGCUCAUCUUUUUUAAGUAGCCUUAUUCCAGCCUGCUACGUCUUGUUGCUUCGAUCCACUCUACUGCAACUUCAGAUACGCCUUGUAGCUUCAAUCUACUCUGCUACGACUCCAUGGGGAUGAGAUUUGUGUUUUUAGUGUGCUCCACUACUAUUUAGGGAGAUAAGACUGGAUGUGAUCUGCUCCACUACUACUUAGGGAGAUAAGACUGUAAUCUUCAAUCUAUUCCACUGCCAAAUACAGGGAGAUAGAGUUAUCAGCUUCAAUGUACUCCACUGUAGUUACAGGAAGGUAAAAUCUGCCAUCUUCGAUCUACUCCACCACUAGUAUGGGAAGACAAGAUCUGUAUCUUGGAUCCACUUCCUAUCAAUAUAGGAAGAUAGGACCUGCUAUCUUCGAUCUACUUCACGCCAAUACAUGAAGACAAGAUCUGCUUUCUGCGAUCUACUUCGCCACCAAUAUGGGAAGACAAGAUCUGCAUCUUCGACCCACUUCCUAUCAAUAUAGGAAGAUAGGACCUGCUAUCUUCGAUCUACCUCACGCCAAUACAUGAAGACAAGAUCUGCUUUCUGCGAUCUACUUCGCCACCAAUAUGGGAAGACAAGAUCUGCAUCUUGGAUCCACUUCCUAUCAAUAUAAGAAGAUAGGACCUGCUAUCUUCGAUCUACUUCACGCCAAUACAUGAAGACAAGAUCUGCUUUCUGCGAUCUACUUCGCCACCAAUAUGGGAAGACAAGAUCUGCGUCGUCGAUCCACUUCCAAUCAUUAUAGAAAGAUAGGACCUGUUAUCUUUGAUCUACUUCACGCCAAUACAUGAAGACAAGAUCUACUUUCUGCGAUCUACUUCGCCACCAAUAUGGGAAAACAAGAUCUGCAUCUUGGAUCCACUUCCUAUCAAUAUAGAAAGAUAGGACCUGCUACCUUCGAUCUACUUCACGCCAAUACAUGAAGACAAGAUUUGCUUUCUUCGAUCUACUUCGCCACCAAUAUGGGAAGACAAGAUCUGCAUCUUCGAUCCACUUCCUACCAAUAUAGGAAGAUAGGACCUGCUACUUUCGAUCUACUUCACGCCAAUACAUGAAGACAAGAUCUGCUUUCUUCGAUCUACUUCGCCACCAAUAUGGGAAGACAAGAUCUGCAUCUUCGAUCUACUUCGCCACCAAUAUGGGAAGACAAGAUCUGCAUCUUCGAUCCAUUUCCUACCAAUAUAGGAAAACCGGAUCAGCUAUCUUCGACCUACUUCACGCCAAUACAUGAAGACAAGAUCUGCUUUCUUCGAUCUACUUCGCCACCAAUAUGGGAAGACAAGAUCUGCAUCUUCGAUCUACUUCGCCACCAAUAUGGGAAGACAAUAUCUGCAUCUUCGAUCCACUUCCUACCAAUAUAGGAAAACCGGAUCAGCUAUCUUCGACCUACUUCACGUCAAUACAUGAAGACAAGAUCUACUUUCUUCGAUCUACUUCUUGUCCCGGGAGAUAGAACUAUCAGCUUCAAUGUACUCCACUGUGGUCAGGGAGGUAAAAUCUGCCAUCUUUUGAUCUGCUUCGCUGCCAAAUACAGGAAGGCAAGAUCUGCAAUCUUCAAUCUAUUCCACUGCCAAAUACAGGGAGAUAGAGUUAUCGGCUUCAAUGUACUCCACUGUAGUCACAUGGAGGUAAAAUCUGCCAUAUUUGAUCUUCAAUCUAUUCCACUGCCAAAUGCAGGGAGAUAGAGUUAUCGGCUUCAAUAUACUCCACUGUAAUCAGGGAGGUAAAAUCUGCCAUCUUUGAUCUGCUUCGCUGUCAAAUUCAGGAAGGCAAGAUCUGCAAUCUUCAAUCUGCUCUGCUACAAACGAGAGAGGCAAGGUUUGUCUUUGAUUUUUACUGAUCUGUUCUCUAGGGAACAUGACCUGUAUAAUGAACCUAAUUAUGCCUAAUGAUUAGGAUGGCAUGAUCAGAAUGGAUCAAAUGUUCCUAACUAGAUGUGCGUGAAUGACAUUUGAAUGAAUGCAGAAUGUCAUGAAAAUGAUUCCUUAAUGCUUAGGUUGUCAUUCCUCAUUGUUCAUCAAGGUUCUAUCACUGAUGCCUUCUUGUUCAGCCAGUACCUUUGAUAGAAAACCUAAAGAAAUAGACGCUAUUUAGACUAUCAUUUCUCAAAUGUUUCCAACCCUUAGGUUUGGUUAGUUCUAAACAAUAGUCUUGUUUCAGGUCCUCGUAUUAUUUAGAAACUUUCAGAGUAAUAUGCAGAACUCCUUCUGCCUGUGUAUUGUCAGUCCAUUAAUCGUUAUUUCAAUGAAAAAUGCUUGAAAAAGAUUAUCAAAAUGGACAAAAUGAAAUUUUGUUGAGAGCAAAGCUCUUAAACAAACAAAUCAAUCAAGAUAGCAAAUUUUGCUGAGAUACGAGAUGAAUAAGAUGAAAAAGAUUAUCACAAUGGAUAAGACGAAAAUUUGUUGAGAGCAAAGCUCUAAAUGAACAAAUUAAUCAAGAUAGCAAAUUUUGCUAAAGUACAGAACGAGGAUAAAUUAAUCAAGAUGAUGUAUUUUGUCAAAAAUACAAAAAAUGAAUAAAAUGGAAAUAGGUGCCCCAGAUAUCGUAGCAUGAGCUUCUCUGCCCCAAACUUCUUAAGGACCCUUUUGAACUUGAUAUGUGUUUAGAAGUCCUAGAAGGCUUUGUUGAUGCCCCAUCUUUGAUCGAAAACUACUUUAUGCCUCAUCUUUGAUCGAAAAUUUGAAUUGCCCAUUCCUGGGUUUUCAAUUCAAAACCCCUUUGGUCUCAAGGUGCCCUUUGCGGGUUUUCGCCUUGGCCUCUCCUUUUUUUUUUUAGGCAAAGUACCUCUUCACUGAAUCCGAAUUCACAGGAUUGGGCAAGCUUUUGCCAUCCAUCCCAGUUAAAAUUAAUGCCCCUCCUGAAAAGGCCUUUUUUACUACAUAAGGUCCCUCCCAGUUUGGCAUCCACUUUCCUCUGAAGUCUUUUUGUAUGGGAAGGAUCUUCUUCAGUACCAAAUCCCCUUCAUGGAAGUUUCUAGGACGAACUUUCUUAUUGUAAGCUCGCAUCAUUUGUUUCUGGUACAUUUGACCAUGACGGAUAGCUCUUAACCUCCUUUCUUCAAUCAAGUUCAGCUGAUCAUAUCGGGAUUGGACCCAUUCUGCUUCGUCUAACUUUAGUUCUGAAAAAACUCGGAGGGAGGGAAUUUUAACCUCAAUUGGUAGCACUGCCUCCAUUCCAUAAACCAAAGAGAAUGGUGUUGCCCCGGUAGAAGUCCUGACGGACGUUCGAUAAGCAUAGAGGGCGAAUGGCAACUUCUCGUGCCAAUCUCUAUAGGUCUCAGUCAUUUUCUCCACAAUCCUUUUGAUAUUUUUAUUGGCUGCCUCCACCGCACCAUUCAUCUUUGGACGGUAUGGUGAUGAGUUGUGGUGCUUGAUAUUGAAUUGACUACAAACCUCUACUAUCGUGCUAUUAUUCAAAUUUAAUGCGUUGUCAGAUAUAAUCCUUUCGGGCAUUCCAUACCGACAUAUGAUUUCCUUUUUUAAAAACCUGCUGACAGCUGCCUUUGUGACGUUCGCGUAAGAAGUAGCCUCUACCCACUUAGUAAAGUAGUCAAUCACUACAAAAAUGAAACGAUGUCCGUUUGAAGCCUUUGGCGAUAUCAGCCCAAUGACGUCCAUGCCCCACAUGGAGAAAGGCCAUGGGGAAGUCAUGACGUGAAGAGGUGAUGGAGGCACAUGGAUUUUGUCUCCGUAAAUCUGGCAUUUAUGGCACUUCUUAGCAUAUUUGAUGCAGUCUCCUUCCAUGGUAGACCAAUAAUAUCCAAAUCUCAUGAUUUGUCUGGCCAUUGUGAAACCGUUAGCGUGUGUUCCACAAAUACCAUCAUGGACUUCUUCCAAGAUCUGUUUGGCCUCCACAGCGUCCACACAUCUUAACAGCACCUGAUCUUUUCCUCCUUUGUACAGGAUCUCUCCAUCUAAGACGUAAUCACUGGCCAGCCUCCUCAACAUUCUCUUGUCAUUCUCAGUUGCUUGGUUUGGGUAUUCACGAUUUUUCACGUAUCGCAAUAUGUCCUGGUACCAAGGGUUGUCGUCCUUUUCUUCUUCCUUGUCAAUGUUACAACAGUGGGCUGGAGCAUCAUAAAUGCUCAUUUGGAUAGGUUUCACAUCCUCUGGUCUAUUUACUUUGAUCAUGGAAGCUAAUGUAGCUAAAGCGUCAGCCAUCUGAUUCUCGUCUCGUGGGAGGUAACAAAAAGUGAUGUCGUCAAACUCCUCAAUCAAUUCUAGGACUAUCAUUCGGAAACUAAUCAACUUAGGGUCUCUUGUUUCCCAUUCGCCUUUGAGCUGAUAAAUUACCAAUGCCGAAUCCCCACAUACCUCAAGUACCUUGAUUUUGCGUUCCAUAGCCGCACGGAUUCCCAUUAUACAUGCUUCAUAUUUCGCCAUGUUAUUUGCGUAAUCAAAAUCUAGUUUACUGGUGAAAGGAUAAUGAUCACCGUUUGGAGAUACCAAGACUGCCCCAAUCCCGUUGCCCAUGGCAUUUGAGGCUCCGUCAAAAUUUAAUUUCCAAGUAUUGCCUUCUUGUGUGCUUGCUUCAGUAGUUGCCACAUACAUCAGAUCCUCAUUUGGGAAAUCAAAGUUCAAAGGCUCAUAAUCGUCCAGGGUUCUACUUGCUAGAAAAUCUGCUAUCGCGCUCCCUUUUACAGCCUUUUGAUUCACAUAGGUUAUGUCAAAUUCAGAUAGUAGAAUUUGCCAUCGGGCCAUCCUUCCGUUUAGAGCAGUUGACUCCAUCAUGUAUUUCAGAAGGUCUAACUUUGAGAUUAACCAAGUCGUAUGGUACAACAUGUAUUGUUUCAAUCUCCGAGUAGUCCAAACCAAUGCGCAACAUAAUUUUUCAAUUGGCGAAUAUCUCGUUUCGUAUUCAGUGAACUUCUUACUGAGAUAAUAGAUCGCUCUUUCCUUUCGUCCUGACUCAUCAUGUUGGCCGAGCACGCACCCCAUAGAAUUCUCAAAUACUGCCAAGUAUAGUAUCAGUGGCUUGUCAGGGCAAGGUGGCAUCAGUACUGGGGCGUUGGACAAGUAAUGUUUAACUCUUUCGAAAGUUUUCUGGCACUCUUUAUCCCAUACACCUGGAUUGUGUUUCCUACGAAGACGGAAUAUGGGGUCACAUUUCUUAGUUAAUUGUGAAAUGAAUCGAGCGAUGUAAUUUAGUCUUCCUAGGAAACCCCGAACUUCUUUUUGAGUACUUGGCGGAGAUAAUUCUUGUAUGGCCUUAACUUUGUCUGGGUCAAUUUCAAUUCCUUUUUCGCUGACUAAGAAUCCUAGCAAUUUUCCUGAUCUAGCCCCGAAAGUACACUUGGCUGGGUUAAGUUUUAGCUGGAACUUCCUUAACCUUAGAAACAGUUUUCUCAGAACUUGCACGUGUUCCCCUUCUGUUCUGGAUUUUGCGAUCAUAUCAUCAACAUAAACUUCUAUCUCUUUAUGCAUCAUAUCAUGGAAUAAUGCUACCAUGGCUCUCUGAUACGUUGCUCCCGCAUUUUUCAAUCCAAAAGGCAUCACUUUAUAACAAAACGUCCCCCACAUCGUUAUGAAUGUGGUAUUCUCCCUGUCUUCAGAAAGCAUCUUAAUUUGGUUGUACCCGGAGAAACCAUCCAUGAAAGAGAACAGUGAGUAUCCGGCCGUGUUGUCUACCAAGGUAUCGAUAUGAGGCAGUGGGAAAUUAUCUUUUGGGCUGGCUUUGUUCAAGUCUCUGUAGUCCACACACAUUCGCACCUUCCCAUCUUUCUUAGGAACAGAGACUAUAUUGGCUACCCAUUCUGAGUACUUGACCACCUGUAAGAAACCAGCAUCAAAUUGCUUCUUAACUUCUUCCUUUAUUUUUAGCAAGACAUCAGGCCUCAUCCUUCGGAGCUUUUGUUGGACUGGUUUGCAUUCUUCUUUUAUAGGCAAUCGGUGUACCACGAUAUCAGUACUUAACCCUGGCAUAUCUUGGUAGGACCACGCGAAGACAUCUUUAAACUCUUGAAGCAACUCAACAAGGUCUUGCCUUGUUUCCUUGGCAAUGCAAGCGCCAAUUUUUACCUCUCUGCCCUCUUCUAAGAUCACAACUUCUACUGAUUCCUUAUAGGGUAGAAUUUGUUUUUCUUCUUCUUCCAUCAUUCUUAACAAAUCCGGAGAUAAAACGCUGUCUUGGUCACCUUCAAAAUCUUGAGGAUCAUCUAUACUCAUGUCUUGCUCAAAUAGGGACUCUGAAUUAGUAACAGAGUCACUCAUCUCGUUGAUAUCUGAAGACCUGUUAUUGGAACAAAUGGAGGCCCAAAUAAAAGGAUCUAAGAAUACUUGUAUGCAUAUUAUGAUUAUAAAGGGAAUGAAAAGAAUGAAAGAAUAUUUGCUCAAGAUGAAACUGAAUGAUAAGUUUUCACUGAAAUUAGAUUUUGGACAUGUGCCUUUUACAAAAGAUUCUUAUCACCCCCAGGCUUAGGGCAACACGUGUUCUGAAUAUUACUCUAGAUUAGCUCUAAAAAUACAGGGAUCUCUUCCACAGUCCCAUUGUUCAAAACACUCCUAAAUAUGCAAAAGUUUGGAGACUUUUAUUCCUCAGUUCCCUUUUCGGAUAUAUCAUUGAAAUUCCUCGAUAUUCCUUUCAGGCUUUUGACUUGUUCAAGGCAUUACAACUCUUUGCUCAUUAUCGUGUAACGUAAAGAUGCCUAGUCAUUUGACUUUUGUCGGUUUCCAAGUUAACUGGGAUAAUUUUACCUAAUUAGGGUCCUUUUAGGGAAAGUCUAAUGCAAAAUAAAGCAAUGCAAUGCAAAUGCAUGAAAUGAAUGCAAAAGAAAGGAAGGCGUUGAUUCUAAAUUUAAUUCUAUUAGAAUAAUUUUUCUAAAAAAUAGAUUUUUUUACAUGAAAAUAGUUUACAUAUGUGGUAUUGCCCUUCAUAGUCCAAGUAAACGCUGAUAUUUUCUUCAUGGUUAAACCCUGUAAAUUCUCCAAAAGAUGCAUUUGCUAGCUCCUUACUGCUUAAUCUGAGCCUCGAUCUCUUGCUCGCUUAUCUUCAAGAUACUCAUCAAAAAGUGCCAGCUCUUGGAUAAUCUUCGUUGGCAAUUAAAUCAAGUCAUGUAUUCCUUCGUGGACUUCCGGCUUUCUCUCGUCAUGCCUUCGUUGGCUUGAAUCUCUAGAAAUUACAUUAUGUAUUCCUCCGUGAACUACCAGCUUUCUCUCAUCGUGUUUACUCAGACUAUAUUCAGACGACCGCACUAUAAUCCACUUUAUCAAGAAAUUCGCUUCCUUAUGACAAACUAUUCUAUUUAGGAAUCGAAUUUCGAAUCAACACAUUCUUUUCUUUGAUGUAAUGCAAAUACAUGAAUGCAAAAAAAAAGGAAGACAUUGAUUCUGAAUUUAAUUUCAUUGGAACAACUUUUCUAGAAAACAAAUUCCUUUACAUAAAACGGACUACAUACACGGUCUUUCUCUCAUAUUCCAAGUGAAGACACCUUUCUUCCUCUUCAUAUCUGGAUCUUAUGGUCGAGUCUGACGAAUUCUCCAAGAGAUGUCUAUAUUAACUCCUUUUUUGCUUGAUCCAGGCUGCGACUCGUUGCUCACUUAUUUCUAUGAUACUUUUCAGCUCUUUUAAGAAAGUCAAGACAUGACAGCUCUCGAAUAAUCUUUGUUAGUUUCUGUCUUUAGGCAAUGAAGCAAAGUCUUGUAUUUCUUCACGGACUAUCAGCCUUCUUUCAUGUAUUCACUUGGACCAUAUUUAGACAACCGUGUUAUAAUCCACUUUAUCAAAAAAAAUUGUUUUCUUAUGACAAACUGUUCUAUUUAGCAAUCAAAUAUGAAUCAACACCUCCUUCCUAGGAUGAUGUAAUACAAUGCAAUUAUAAACAAAAAAAACAAAACACGUUAGUGCAGAAUAAAUAACAAAUAAAGCAAUUCGGGUGACCACUAGGGGUUUGGAGUGGCUCUACGUAGGGUAGGCUCCUAGGUCUCUCUAUAUGUGGUUUGGUUCUUGAGUAAGGGUACCUGAACCAACAGAUUCCUCGAUCCUCACCCAUUAUAGGCUCAUAUGGACCGAGUUCAGUUCAGGGGAAUACAUUUCCCUAUGGCCAUGCGGAGAUGAAAAUCUCACGAAGACAUAGGUACGGAUGUAUCCCGGAAGCGAUUCACUAUCCCAUGCGGAGGUGAAAACCUCACGAAGGCGUAGUUUCUCACUCCCACUAAAAAGGGUAUGACCAGCGGUCAUGCAAUGUAAUGUGCGAAGGUAUAAAAUAAAAUACAGAACACGAUAAAAAAUAUAACUCAGAACAAAAGAGAUGCAAUGAGAGGAUCGUAAAUUUAAAUCGAAUUUUCAACUUUCGACAAAAGACAAGAAAUAAUCAACACGUGGCUUGACUCUCUUAUUGUCCCCAGUGGAGUCGCCAAGCUGUUGACACCAUUUUUUUGUUAAAAAACGGGGUCGACUUGGAUUUUGAAAAAAAGAAUGAAAACGGGAGUCGCCACCAAUCCUUUUUUGAUGAGGUGUGAUCAGGUCACCUCAAAAAGUGGUUGUUUUUAAUAAAUGAUUUAAUUUUAUUAAAACAACGAUUUUGGUCUACGAAAUUUAGAAAAAUGAGUUCGGGAAUCGGUUACGCACGAGGAAGGAUUAGCACCCUCGACACGCCCAAAAUUGGUACCUUAGUUGAUUACAUAAUGUCUUAAUGUCGAAAAUUGAGAAUUUUGAAAAUUUUUAAAAAUUUUUACGAUCCUUAUAUUAAAACAUAAAAAAAAAUUCAGGAAAAGGGACAUAUUUCACGUUAUCUGAGAAAAAAAGAAUCAUAUCCAGUAAGUUAGGACACAAUGUCUCGAAUUCCCGAUAUCGUUUAAAACUCGAAUUUGAAAAGAUUCAUGUAAUAAAGUUUAAAAGAAUAUUCAAUUGUUUAAAUCAAAUAAAGAAAUCGCAACCCAAUACGUUAGGGCACAAUUUCUCAAAAUAUUAAACAUUGAAUAUUGCAUUUAUUUCGAAAAAUCCUUGUCUCGAGAAAGCAACGUGUCACAUCCAAUGCGUUAGGACACAACAUAUUAAAUUCUUGAUAACGAGCUUUUUAUCAUUUUUUUAAAGAGUAAUCUCGAUUAUUUAAAUUCAACGAAGAAAGUCGGAACCCAAUGCAUUAGGGCUCGAUUCUCUCGAAGAUCUAAAUAUCGAAUAUUACUUUUAUUUUAAAAUUUCAUUUUUGGCCAAUCCGAUUGAAAAGAUACGAUGUGACAACAAUGAUGAUAAUGUAAGUAAAAUAACACGAGCAAAACAUAAGAUAAAUAAAUAAUAAAACGAAGAAAACAAUCAAAAAGGCACAAUAACAAAUAAUAAACAAAUAAAAACUAAAACAUGAAUAACAAGCAUUUAAACAAAUAAAUAAAUGAACAAAAUGAUCCAAAAAAAAAUUAUGAAAAGUUAAAAGACAUAUAUAUAUGUACAAAAUUAUGAAAAUAUAAAAAAAAAACAUAUGUGUGUACACAUGAAUUAUAAACCAUAGAAAUAUCAUAAGAAAAUAUAAAUUUUUAAAAUAUAAGAGUAUGUAUAAAUACAUAUAUGCAUAUUUAUGAAAAAUAAAAGAGAUACAUGUAAGUACGUAUAUACAUAAAAAAUUUAAAAUGCAAAUAUAAAUAUAUUCAUGUAUAUAAGAAUAAUAAUAAAAGGCGUAUAUAUAUGCAUGUGAAUAUUAAGUAUGUACAUAUGAAUGUAUAUAAUAUAUAUAUAAACUAUAUAUAUAAAAAAAAUAUGGUAAUGAAAUAUAUACGCACUAUAUAUAUUUAAAACAUUUAGAAAUAAAAAUAUACACAUACAUUAUAAAGUACACAUGCGUGUAUGUAUGUAAGUAUAAUAAAAAAAUAAUAAUAGUAAUAAUAAUAAUAAUAAUAAUAACUAUAUUAAUAAAAUAAACUAAAAACUUAAAAUGAAAGAUUAUGGAUUAAAUUGAAAAUAAUUGAAGUUUCAGGGGCAAAUCUGAAACAAACAAAACACCAAUGAAUCGAAUGGAACAUGCAGUUAACAGUGGAGGACCGAAAGUCAAAUUAAUCCCUCCGUCCAAAACUCCACGCAGCAAUGGAUUAAAAUAAAACAAAUUCGACAUUUCAUGGCAAAAUUUGAAAACAAACCGCAAUGAUUUUGAACUGAUGGGAUAAAAUGAAGGAUUAAAACGCAAAUAACCCAUCAGUGUUUAAAACCCUUUUCAUCUCCAAUUAAAAGCCUACUCUGCAGCAGCAAUAGACGCAAAGUUGCUUCAUCUUCCUUUUUUCUUUUUUUGUUUUAAAACAACAGAGGGAAGAAAGAGGGAUCUGCUAGGCCUUCUUUAAAGCCCUAACUACCGCCACGCCACCGCCUUUCAAGCUUCGCCGCCGAUUCCGAUUCAGGUAAGUUUCGCCCUUUCCUUUUUUGCCUUUUCUUUUGCACCAAAAACAGAGAAGCAAAGAGAAAAAAAAAUAAAAUAAAUAAAACACAAAGAAAAUUACCUUCAAAAAUUGUUUUUGAUUCUUUGUUUGUAUUUCAGUAUUUUUCCAAUACAAUAUUUUUCUCUUUUUAGUACCCAAUCCCCCUUUUCUUUGUGAUCGAUUUUGGCUUUUUAAAACCGAUCUAUAAAACAUUCAUUUCCUAUUUUUUGUUUUCGUUCUUUUGUUUAUUCUUUUCCCCAUUCCUCGCAUGCUUCCUUUUGCUGUUGUUUUUGUCUCUGUUGCAGGUGUGUCCGGUGGGGGUGGUGCACGUGAUGGCCAAGGGCAGAGGUAGCAUGGGGCGACUGAUCAGAGGCGUGCAUGCGUGAGGGGAGGUGAAGCGGCGGCAGCUACAAAGCAUGAGGCUAGGGUUUUUUUGUUUGGUUGAAAACUAGUAUAGUUUGGGCCAUUCGGGCCUCUAAGGUUUUUAUCAUUAUUGGGCAUUUGGAUUGGGUCUGUUUUUUGGGUUAAUUUUGUUGUAAUGGUCUGUUAAUUUUUAUUAGUCUUGGUCCAUUUGGGUUUUAUGGUCUGGGCCCGGGCAAAAAUGGGCUUUUACACUAAAUAAUAAAAAAUGUUAUUUUGAAAACUUACAUUAAUCCUGAAAAUGUAAGAUUACUUAAACCCAACAGUAGCAUAAACUAAUACUGAUUGCAAUUCCGUUUACUCUUUGUUUGAUGGUUCUCCUAAGGCCUGUAGAA